rnacentral:RNase_P_RNA from 1 species
UGUGAGGAAAGUCCGGGCUCCGCAGGGCAAGGAUAACGGGUAACACCCGCCGGGGGCGACCCUAGGAAAAGUGCAACAGAAAUAGACCGCCGGCCGGCUUUUCGCCGGCCGGUAAGGAUGGAAAGGCGAGGUAAGAGCUCACCCGAUGGCGCGUAAAAGUGCCCAUCGCUGUAAACUCUAUCCGGAGCAACGCCGUGGAGGGACAUACAGGCCGGCCCGGCCGUCCCGGGGAGGCGGCUAGAGCGCGUCAGCAAUGGCGCGUCGAGAUAGAUGGCUGUCUUAAAAGACAGAACCCGGCUUACAGGCUUUCUGCAACA